rnacentral:rRNA from 1 species
CCGACCUGCACGAAUGGCGUAACGACAGCGGCGCUGUCUCCACCCGAGACUCAGUGAAAUUGAAAUCGCUGUGAAGAUGCAGCGUUCCCGUGGCAAGACGGAAAGACCCCGUGAACCUUUACUAUAGCUUUACACUGAACGUUGAGUUCUUCUGUGUAGGAUAGGUGGGAGGCUACGAAGUGCAGGCGCUAGCUUGCAUGGAGCCAUCCUUGAAAUACCACCCUGAAGUGCUUGACGUUCUAACCUAGGCCCGUAAUCCGGGUCGGGGACCGUGUAUGGUGGGUAGUUUGACUGGGGCGGUCUCCUCCCAAAGAGUAACGGAGGAGCACGAAGGUACGCUCAGCACGGUCGGACAUCGUGCAAUGUGUGUAAAGGCAUAAGCGUGCUUGACUGCGAGAUCGACGGAUCAAGCAGGUACGAAAGUAGGUCUUAGUGAUCCGGUGGUUCUGUAUGGAAGGGCCAUCGCUCAACGGAUAAAAGGUACUCCGGGGAUAACAGGCUGAUACUGCCCAAGAGUUCAUAUCGACGGCAGUGUUUGGCACCUCGAUGUCGGCUCAUCACAUCCUGGGGCUGUAGCCGGUCCCAAGGGUAUGGCUGUUCGCCAUUUAAAGUGGUACGCGAGCUGGGUUCAGAACGUCGUGAGACAGUUCGGUCCCUAUCUGCCAUGGGCGUUGGAUGUUUGAGAGGGGCUGCUCCUAGUACGAGAGGACCGGAGUGGACGUAUCUCUGGUGUUCCGGUUGUCACGCCAGUGGCACUGCCGGGUAGCUAUAUACGGAAGCGAUAACCGCUGAAAGCAUCUAAGCGGGAAGCGCGCCUCAAGAUGAGACAUCCCGGAGCUUAAGCUCCCUAAAGGAACCAUCAAGACUAGGUGGUUGAUAGGUCAGGUGUGUAUCGCAGUAAUGCCGAGCUAACUGAUACUAAUGAUCCGUGUGGCUUGAUCAU